AUUAGGAAUCUUGCGCAAUGGGCGAAAGCCUGACGCAGCGACGCCGCGUGGAGGAGGAAGUCUUUCGGGAUGUAAACUCCUUUUAGGUAGGAAGAAACAAAUGACGGUACUACCUGAAUAAGCCCCGGCUAACUACGUGCCAGCAGCCGCGGUAAUACGUAGGGGGCGAGCGUUGUCCGAAGUUACUGGGCGUAAAGCGCGCGUAGGCGGGUAAGCAAGUCUGCUGUGAAAGCCCGGAGCUUAACUCCGGAGGGUCGGUGGAUACUGCUUGUCUUGAAGUGGCUAGGGGGAGAUGGAAUUACCGGUGUAGCGGUGAAAUGCGUAGAGAUCGGUAGGAACACCAGUGGCGAAGGCGGUCUCCUGGGGCUCACUUGACGCUGAGGCGCGAAAGCUGGGGGAGCGAACGG
rnacentral:rRNA from 1 species